rnacentral:rRNA from 1 species
AGCGAACGCUGGCGGCGUGCCUAACACAUGCAAGUCGAACGUGAACGGGGGCAACUCCUAGUAAAGUGGCGUACGGGUGAGUAACGCGUAGGUAAUCUACCCUAGUGUCUGGAAUAAACGGCCGACAGGCUGGCUAAUACUGGAUAGAGCGAUGGGAUCCGAAAUUGGGUCUUUCGGGAAAGGGGGGCAGAAAUGUAUCGCGCCUGCGGCUGCGCUGGCGUCUCAUUAGGUAGUUGGGGGGGUAAUGGCUCACCAAGCCUUUGAUGGGUAGCUGGUCUGAGAUGAUGAUCAGCCACACUGGAACUAAAACACGGUCCAGACUCCUACGGGAGGCAGCAGUGGGGAAUCUUGCGCAAUGGGCGAAAGCCUGACGCAGCCACGCCGCGUGAGUGAAGAAGGCCUUCGGGUUGUAAAGCUCUGUCGCCCGGGACGAAAACUCCCAUGGCUCAUACCCAUGGGAACUGACGGUACCGGGAGAGGAAGCACCGGCUAACUUCGUGCCAGCCGCCGCGGUAACAC